GAUGAAGAACGCAGCGAAAUGCGAUAAGUAAUGUGAAUUGCAGAAUUCAGUGAAUCAUCGAAUCUUUGAACGCACCUUGCGCCCUUUGGCCAUUCCGAAGGGCAUGCCUGUUUGAGUAUCACGAACACCUCAACUCUUUAUGGUUUUCCAUGAUGAGCUUGGACUCUGGGGGUUUUGCUGGCUCACAGUCGGCUCCUCUAAAAUGAAUCAGCUUACCAGUGUUUGGUGGGUAUCAUGGGUGUGAUAACUAUCUACGCUUGUGGUUUUUCCACCAGGUAACCUUCAGCAGUGGAGGUUCGCUGGAGCUCAUAGAUGUCUCUCCUCAGUGAGGACAGCCCUUUGAAUGUUUGAUCUCAAAUCAGGUAGGACUACCCGCUGAACUUAAGCAUAUCAAUAAGCGGAGGA
rnacentral:misc_RNA from 1 species